GGGAAACCGGGAUUAAAACCUCAUAACGCGAGGAGUUCACAUGUUCUCCUCGCCAAAGAUUCAUCGGUAUGGGAUGGGCCUGCGUCUGAUUAGCUAGUUGGUGAGGUAACGGCUCACCAAGGCGACGAUCAGUAGCCGACCUGAGAGGGUAAUCGGCCACAUUGGAACUGAGACACGGUCCAAACUCCUACGGGAGGCAGCAGUGGGGAAUAUUGCACAAUGGGCGAAAGCCUGAUGCAGCAACGCCGCGUGAGCGAUGAAGGCCUUUGGGUCGUAAAGCUCUGUCCUUGGGGAAGAAAAAAUGACGGUACCCUUGGAGGAAGCCCCGGCUAACUACGUGCCAGCAGCCGCGGUAAUACGUAGGGGGCAAGCGUUAUCCGGAAUUAUUGGGCGUAAAGAGUGCGUAGGUGGUCAUGAAUAAGCGCGGGGUGAAAGGCAAUAGCUUAACUAUUGUAAGCGCUUGCGAAACUGCAUGAGCUUGAGUGCAGGAGAGGAAAGUGGAAUUCCUAGUGUAGCGGUGAAAUGCGUAGAUAUUAGGAGGAACACCAGUGGCGAAGGCGACUUUCUGGACCUGUAACUGACACUGAGGCACGAAAGCGUGGGUAGCAAA
rnacentral:rRNA from 1 species